AAGAAGUUUAGUGAUAUUCAGUUAGGCCAUGUGAGAAAGUACAAAUUGGAACCUCUCCUUCAUAUGCCAGCGAAACUUAAAAUACCAAUGAAUCUGCUUGAAUGGAUAGAUCAGCAUAUGUUUGGAAGUAAAGAGCCAUGUUUCAAGCACAAGAAUAAAACUAUCAAGAUUACUAAAGAUAUGGUCAACAAAAUCUUUGAUUUUCCUGGUGGCACCGAGCCUUUUGUAUUCAGUAGCGAUGAUCCCCAAGUGAAGGCAGAGGUUACACAGUUAAGGAACAAAUAUGUGGAUGAUCGGAACAAAAUGCCGAUCAACAAAAUAGAGGAGGUGAUGCUUAGUGAUGAGACAGAAGAUGGAUUUAUCAGGAGCUUUGCAUUUUAUUUCCUAUCAUCUAUUUUGUGCCCUGCCUCAUACUGUUUUGGUAACAUGAAGUUCUUAUACUCUCUAAGAGAUGUUUUUGCUAUACCUUCACUUGACUUUGGGCAAUUGGCACUAGAUUUCUUGCGUGAGGAGUCAGAGCGUCAUUUUGAAAUGAUUAUGAACAGACCAAGUAUUGAGGAAAUGAACAAGCCUUCAUAUAUUGGUGGAUGUCUUCCUAUUUGGCAAAUCAUUUAUCUGGAUUUUGUUGAUUUUGAUUUCAUUCAUAAUCAUCAGUCAACAGUGGAUUAUUCUCUUCCUCGGAUAUCUCAUGUUAAGACUGAAGAUUUCAAGUAUCUC
rnacentral:rRNA from 1 species